rnacentral:rRNA from 1 species
UACGGGGGGAGCAAGCGUUGUUCGGAUUUACUGGGCGUAAAGGGCGCGUAGGCGGUCAGCACAAGCCAAUUGUGAAAUCUCCGAGCUUAACUCGGAAAGGUCAACUGAAACUGUGCGACUAGAGUGCGGAAGGGGCAACUGGAAUUCUUGGUGUAGCGGUGAAAUGCGUAGAUAUCAAGAGGAACACCUGCGGCGAAGGCGGGUUGCUGGGCCGACACUGACGCUGAAGCGCGAAAGCCAGGGGAGCGAACGGG